UGUAGCUCAGUUGGUAGAGAGAGCGCUUGCCUGGCAUGCAUGAUACCCUGGGUUCAAUCCCUGGCA
rnacentral:tRNA from 1 species